rnacentral:lncRNA from 1 species
AUGGCCUCCAAUAAAACUACAUUGUGAAAAAUGGGGAAAAAAAACAGAAUGGGAAAAGUAAAAAGUUGAAGAGGCAGAGCCUGAAGAAUUUGUGGUGGAAAAAGUACUAGAUUGACGUGUAGUGAAUGGGAAAGUGGAAUAUUUCCUGAAGUGGAAGGGAUUUACAGAUGCUGACAAUACUUGGGAACCUGAAGAAAAUUUAGAUUGUCCAGAAUUGAUUGAAGCAUUUCUUAGCUCUCAGAAAGCUGGCAAACAAAAAGAUGGUAAAAAAGAAAAUCUUUAUCUGACAGUGAAUCUGAUGACAGCAAAUCAAAGAAGAAAACAGAUGCUGCUGACAAACCAAGAGGAUUUGCCAGAGGUCUUGAUCCUGAAAGAAUAAUUGGUGCCACAGACAGCAGUGGAGAAUUGAUGUUUCUCAUGAAAUGGAAAGAUUCAGAUGAGGCAGACUUGGUGCUGGCAAAAGAAGCAAGUAUGAAGUGUCCUCAAAUUGUAAUUGCUUUUUAUGAAGAGAGACUAACUUGGCAUUCUUGUCCAGAAGAUGAAGCUCAAUAA